UUUGCUGUUCAGAAGUCCGUCUUUAAUUCAUCAUAAACUAAAGGAACACAGGUCAGAUUCGGACAACGACUUCAAAUUCGUUCGCAGAAUACGCUAAACAAUUGGACGACGGAUACACUGGAUGAUAAUGUAGAUGGUCCAGGAUUAUCUGGGAAGGAAACUACAGGUGUUGAACACAGAAAACCGUUUACAAGAAAACAACUGGAGUUUGUGAAAGCUGCAAGAAAUUAAUCUUGCCGGGUACGCAUUCACUUCACCUUGGGCGAGUGCAGCACAGUGGAUAAAUGUGUUGCUGAAGGAAAACACCAUUGCUAGGAUUCAAACCCACGACACUCUGUUGAAAGGUGAGAGUCAGAACCACUAGACCACGACGCACCCACAAUUAACAAGCUGAUGUCAUACCCCCACUUGUUCUUUUGUAUUUUAUAACAAGAAGUCAUGUUUAUUCACAUUUUGACCUCCAAGAACUAAAAAGUGGAGUGAAGAUUUAUUUAAUGUAAACACAUGCAUUGCUUGAUAUCAUUUUAUGCUACGUGGGACAUAUCAUACACACGUGUACGAAAAUAUGAAAUUAUUAUGAUUUCAUUUUAUAACAUAAGCCUAACACAUAUUCCUGACGAUCAUGUGCACAUUCCAGUAAUUUUUCCCAAAAUGUUGCUAAACCUUCAAAUCAAAGACUUUGUUAUCAGAUUUUAACGAAAUUGUCAACAUUAUGCUUUUCUGAUUAAUUCUCUUCCUACCUAAAUCUCCCCUUUUCUCAUGCUUUCUUUCUAUGGUCCCCUUCAUUAUCCUUAUAACUAUGUUAUAUGUAAAAUGUAACCGGUCGUCCAACCCAUUUGAUUGAAGGGCUAGGUACUCUAGACUGAAAGUUAUUUGAUUUAAAUUCAAAGAGUACAUCAGACAAAAAAAACACAGAAAAUUUCAUCAAAAUUGAAUGAGGAUUAACGAAAUUAUGACGAAUUAAAGUUGUUAUUUUUUGGUAAAACUGUUCUCUGCAAGUCCUCAUGAAUAUACAAGAUCCCAAUUUAUAUAUUUUUUUGUAUUAUAUGAAUUCAAAUUUUGUCCAAGCUAGGUUGUAAAAAAUUACGAUUGGCUACUGAUUUACUGUGUAAGACAAAAAUUAUAUUAUUUCUCACACAUAGUUGAGUUAUUCAUCUGAUUCAACACAACAAAAAUAGACAAAAAAGAAAUAAGUGGGAAUCUUGUAUAUUUGAACUAUGGGAAAUAGUUAAAAAAUAGAUGUGCUACUAAGAAUUAUUUUCUAUAUG